rnacentral:rRNA from 1 species
UGGGGAAUAUUGGACAAUGGGCGAAAGCCUGAUCCAGCAAUGCCGCGUGAGUGAUGAAGGCCUUAGGGUUGUAAAGCCCUUUUACCCGGGAUGAUAAUGACAGUACCGGGAGAAUAAGCUCCGGCUAACUCCGUGCCAGCAGCCGCGGUAAUACGGAGGGAGCUAGCGUUGUUCGGAAUUACUGGGCGUAAAGCGCACGUAGGCGGCUUUGUAAGUCAGAGGUGAAAGCCUGGAGCUCAACUCCAGAACUGCCUUUGAGACUGCAUCGCUUGAAUCCAGGAGAGGUGAGUGGAAUUCCGAGUGUAGAGGUGAAAUUCGUAGAUAUUCGGAAGAACACCAGUGGCGAAGGCGGCUCACUGGACUGGUAUUGACGCUGAGGUGCGAAAGCGUGGGGAGCAAACA